rnacentral:rRNA from 1 species
GAUGAACGCUAGCGGCAGGCUUAAUACACGCAAGUCGUGGGGCAGCAUGAGUAGCAAUACUUGAUGGCGACCGGCAAACGGGUGCGGAACACGUACACAACCUUCCGAUAAGUGGGGAAUAGCCCAGAGAAAUUUGGAUUAAUACCCCGUAACAUAUAGAGUAGGCAUCUUCUUUAUAUUAUAGCUUCGGCGCUUAUUGAUGGGUGUGCGUCUGAUUAGGUAGUUGGCGGGGUAACGGCCCACCAAGCCUACGAUCAGUAGCUGAUGUGAGAGCAUGAUCAGCCACACGGGCACUGGGACACGGGCCCGACUCCUACGGGAGGCAGCAGUAAGGAAUAUUGGACAAUGGGCGAAAGCCUGAUCCAGCCAUGCCGCGUGAAGGAUUAAGGUCCUCUGGAUUGUAAACUUCUUUUAUUUGGGACGAAAAAAGGGAAUUCUUUCCCACUUGACGGUACCAAGUGAAUAAGCACCGGCUAACUCCGUGCCAGCAGCCGCAGUAAUAC